rnacentral:rRNA from 1 species
AUUGAACGCUGGCGGCAGGCCUAACACAUGCAAGUCGAGCGGUAGCACAGAGAGCUUGCUCUCGGGUGACGAGCGGCGGACGGGUGAGUAAUGUCUGGGAAACUGCCUGAUGGAGGGGGAUAACUACUGGAAACGGUAGCUAAUACCGCAUAACGUCGCAAGACCAAAGUGGGGGACCUUCGGGCCUCAUGCCAUCAGAUGUGCCCAGAUGGGAUUAGCUAGUAGGUGGGGUAAUGGCUCACCUAGGCGACGAUCCCUAGCUGGUCUGAGAGGAUGACCAGCCACACUGGAACUGAGACACGGUCCAGACUCCUACGGGAGGCAGCAGUGGGGAAUAUUGCACAAUGGGCGCAAGCCUGAUGCAGCCAUGCCGCGUGUGUGAAGAAGGCCUUCGGGUUGUAAAGCACUUUCAGCGGGGAGGAAGGCGAUAAGGUUAAUAACCUUGUCGAUUGACGUUACCCGCAGAAGAAGCACCGGCUAACUCCGUGCCAGCAGCCGCGGUAAUACGGAGGGUGCAAGCGUUAAUCGGAAUUACUGGGCGUAAAGCGCACGCAGGCGGUCUGUCAAGUCGGAUGUGAAAUCCCCGGGCUCAACCUGGGAACUGCAUUCGAAACUGGCAGGCUAGAGUCUUGUAGAGGGGGGUAGAAUUCCAGGUGUAGCGGUGAAAUGCGUAGAGAUCUGGAGGAAUACCGGUGGCGAAGGCGGCCCCCUGGACAAAGACUGACGCUCAGGUGCGAAAGCGUGGGGAGCAAACAGGAUUAGAUACCCUGGUAGUCCACGCCGUAAACGAUGUCGAUUUGGAGGUUGUGCCCUUGAGGCGUGGCUUCCGGAGCUAACGCGUUAAAUCGACCGCCUGGGGAGUACGGCCGCAAGGUUAAAACUCAAAUGAAUUGACGGGGGCCCGCACAAGCGGUGGAGCAUGUGGUUUAAUUCGAUGCAACGCGAAGAACCUUACCUGGUCUUGACAUCCACAGAACUUUCCAGAGAUGGAUUGGUGCCUUCGGGAACUGUGAGACAGGUGCUGCAUGGCUGUCGUCAGCUCGUGUUGUGAAAUGUUGGGUUAAGUCCCGCAACGAGCGCAACCCUUAUCCUUUGUUGCCAGCGGUCCGGCCGGGAACUCAAAGGAGACUGCCAGUGAUAAACUGGAGGAAGGUGGGGAUGACGUCAAGUCAUCAUGGCCCUUACGAGUAGGGCUACACACGUGCUACAAUGGCAUAUACAAAGAGAAGCGACCUCGCGAGAGCAAGCGGACCUCAUAAAGUAUGUCGUAGUCCGGAUUGGAGUCUGCAACUCGACUCCAUGAAGUCGGAAUCGCUAGUAAUCGUGGAUCAGAAUGCCACGGUGAAUACGUUCCCGGGCCUUGUACACACCGCCCGUCACACCAUGGGAGUGGGUUGCAAAAGAAGUAGGUAGCUUAACCUUCGGGAGGGCGCUUACCACUUUGUGAUUCAUGACUGGGGUGA